CGCGGGGCUGAGCGACGCUGCAGUCACGCGCUGUAGGGCGCGAGCGAUGCGGAGCGACGCUUCAGUCAUUCACCCGCGCGCUCACCGGGCAACCACGGCCAAGGCAUGGCAGAGAGGAGCCGAGGAAAGCGGAGGAAACAGGCGAACCCGCGGAGAAACCAAGGUGAGCCGGAGCACUGUCUGGGCUCUGAAGGCGAGGAUGAGGGCAGCGUUUGGGGGAUGGAGGUUCUGGACAGCAGAGAUGCUCAGGAUAAAGUCAGUCUGACGCCCAGCGAGGGCACGGAGCCCGGCAGUCCCGUCCCGUGUGCGGAGAGCUGGGCUGACACCGAAACCACACCGCUGAAAAUCACAGCCGCAGACCCCGAGCACUGUCAGACUGACGCUCGUGUGAUGGACGGCCCGAUUCACGCUCAACAGCGCA
rnacentral:lncRNA from 1 species